GGACGAACGCUGGCGGCGUGCUCAUACAUUGUCAAGUCGAACGCUUUUGUUUUCCCCGGAGCUUGCUCCACCGAAAACAAAAGAGUGGCGGACGGGUGAGUAACACGUGGGUAACCUGCCCUCAAGCGGGGGAUAACACUUGGAGACAGGUGCUAAUACCGCAUAACAAUCAGAAUCGCAUGAUUUUGAUUUGAAAGGCGCUUUUGCGUCACUUGAGUGAUGGACCCGCGGUGCAUUAGCUAGUUGGUGAGUGUAACGGCUCACCAAGGCCACGAUGCAUAGCCGACCUGAGAGGGUGAUCGGCCACACUGGGACUGAGACACGGCCCAGACUCCUACGUGGAGUGCAGCAGUAGGGAAUCUUCGGCAAUGGACGAAAGUCUGACCGAGCAACGCCGCGUGAGUGAAGAAGGUUCUCGGAUCGUAAAACUCUGUUGUUAGAGAAGAACAACGGGUGACGAGUAGAAUGUUCACCCCUUGACGGUAUCUAAACCAGAAACGCCACGGCAUAACUACGUGCCAGCAGCCGCGGUAAUCACCGUACACAGUGGCAACGCGUCUGUCCCGGCACUCUCAUUGGGCGUCAAAGCCGUGCGCAGGG
rnacentral:rRNA from 1 species